rnacentral:rRNA from 1 species
GACGAACGCUGGCGGCGUGCCUAAUACAUGCAAGUCGAGCGCAGGAAAUCGACGGAACCCUUCGGGGGGAAGUCGACGGAAUGAGCGGCGGACGGGUGAGUAACACGUAAAGAACCUGCCCUCAGGUCUGGGAUAACCACGAGAAAUCGGGGCUAAUACCGGAUGGGUCAUCGGACCGCAUGGCCCGAGGAUGAAAGGCGCUUCGGCGUCGCCUGGGGAUGGCUUUGCGGGGCAUUAGCUAGUUGGUGGGGUAAUGGCCCACCAAGGCGACGAUGCAUAGCCGACCUGAGAGGGUGAUCGGCCACACUGGGACUGAGACACGGCCCAGACUCCUACGGGAGGCAGCAGUAGGGAAUCUUCCACAAUGGACGAAAGUCUGAUGGAGCAACGCCGCGUGAACGAUGAAGGCCUUCGGGUCGUAAAGUUCUGUUGUAAGGGAAGAACAAGUGCCGCAGGCAAUGGCGGCACCUUGACGGUACCUUGCGAGAAAGCCACGGCUAACUACGUGCCAGCCGCCGCCGUAA